rnacentral:rRNA from 1 species
CAGUAGCCACGGGAAUACGAAGGGGGCUAGCGUUGUUCGGAUUUACUGGGCGUAAAGGGCGCGUAGGCGGACUGAUAAGUCAGGGGUGAAAUCCCAAGGCUCAACCUUGGAACUGCCUUUGAUACUGUUUGUCUUGAGUUCGAGAGAGGUAAGUGGAACUGCGAGUGUAGAGGUGAAAUUCGUAGAUAUUCGCAAGAACACCAGUGGCGAAGGCGGCUUACUGGCUCGAAACUGACGCUGAGGCGCGAAAGCGUGGGGAGCAAACAGGAUUAGAUACCCCGGUAGUCCCUGUCUCUUAUAA